rnacentral:rRNA from 1 species
CCUACGGGUGGCAGCAGUGAGGAAUAUUGGUCAAUGGACAAGAGUCUGAACCAGCCAAGUAGCGUGAAGGAUGACUGCCCUAUGGGUUGUAAACUUCUUUUAUAUGGGAAUAAAAUGUUCCACGUGUGGGAUUUUGUAUGUACCAUAUGAAUAAGGAUCGGCUAACUCCGUGCCAGCAGCCGCGGUAAUACGGAUGAUCCGAGCGUUAUCCGGAUUUAUUGGGUUUAAAGGGAGCGUAGGUGGAUUGUUAAGUCAGUUGUGAAAGUUUGCGGCUCAACCGUAAAAUUGCAGUUGAAACUGGCAGUCUUGAGUACAGUAGAGGUGGGCGGAAUUCGUGGUGUAGCGGUGAAAUGCUUAGAUAUCACGAAGAACUCCGAUUGCGAAGGCAGUUCACUGGACUGCAACUGACACUGAGGCUCGAAAGUGUGGGUAUCAAACAGGAUUAGAUACCCGAGUAGUC